UUCCAGAUUCGACACACUAUCAAGAAACAUUACUUUCAUUCAACAUGGUUCUGUUGGAUAAUUGCGGAUUUUGUGUGUUGUUUCUCUACAUUUUAACUGGUGUCAGCUGUCAACAGCUGACUGCAGUGAAGGAUGAAGAGUCCAGUUCAGAAGGCAGCACUGUGACUCUGACCUGCAAAUACACCAAAGGUUCUGCUGAUUAUUUCUUCUGGUAUCGGCAACAUCCAGGAAAACCUCCAGAGUUCCUGAUCUCUCAUUUAGAAUCGGGACAAAUAUCUUUGAAUCCAGUCCCUGGACUGUCUGCGACAGUGAGGAAAGAAGAAACACAAAUGGAUCUGAAGAUCUCCUCUGCUGCAGUGACAGACUCUGCUGUGUACUACUGUGCUUGUAAAAUCCAAAUGUGA